AACCUUUAAACUUUGAUCACUAGGCCAUGGUGUUUCCACCAUUAGGUUAUCAUUGGAGUUUUCUAGAAGCAUCUCGAGGCCUUUCUGUUCUUAAUCCCAUUAGAGCUCCACCGGAGCUAUUGCCAAGUUUUCUAUAAAUUCUUUGAUAAAGAGGUUAUAUGAGAAGCAACAAAAGCAGAGACCGCUCUCCCUUCCGGUUGCGUCUUCUUCCUCUUCGCAUUCACAUCUGUCUCUUUGUCCUCUCAUGCCUAAGAUCAUGAUAAACUUCACUGCCGUGCUCUCUUGUUGAUGACUGAACCAAGUACAAGCUAAGGGCUAAACAACUUUUUUACAUUACUGUUUAUGGAGGCAUCAAAGUGGCUAUCAAGAUGUCUUGGUCCCAGAAGCUAACAUAUAACUAUGGACAGUUUUUCCCUAGACGUUCUUUUCAACUUUCCUGAGUAUGUGACUCCUGCGGUUUAGAAAAUCUCAAAGAGUGAGAAGAUUCACUUGAGUGUUAACGUCAAUACUGGACAUGCACCAUGAUAUUUCAGGGUUGUGUUUCUUCUUUAUAUCUUAUAUCUUUCUAAUACAAUCAUGUAUUACAUGAAGAAUGAAGAAAGGCGGAACUUAGGGAAGUUAGGUUUGCAUAUGAAGCAGAUGUUUUGAAGUGGUCAAACACAAAUUUUAGCUUUUCUUGUACGAUAUGAACUUUAUAUACCGCAUAGGCCUUGGCCUUUCAUCCGCGCUGAA